AGCUUCAUGGCUGAGUGGGGAUUUGAACCCUGGUUUCCCAGGUCGCAGUGCAGCCUGCUAACCGCUACACCACACAGGCUGUCUGAGUGGAUCAGAGGGAACGAUGUUAAUAAACCCAUGCCAAAGUU